GUGUUCGCUUUCUCAGCACACAUACUAAAAUUGGAAGGAUACAGAGAAGAUUAGCAUGGCCCCUUCACAAGGAUGACAUGAAAAUUCAUGAAGCAUUCCAUAUUUUU
ensembl:snRNA U6 U6 spliceosomal RNA